GAGUUUGAUCCUGGCUCAGGACGAACGCUGGCGGCGUGCUUAACACAUGCAAGUCGAGCGGAAAGGCCCUUUCGGGGGUACUCGAGCGGCGAACGGGUGAGUAACACGUGAGUAACCUGCCCCAGUCUUUGGGAUAACCCUCGGAAACGGGGGCUAAUACCGGAUAUGACCUUGGACCGCAUGGUCUUUUGGUGGAAAGUUUUUCGGUCUGGGAUGGGCUCGCGGCCUAUCAGCUUGUUGGUGGGGUGAUGGCCUACCAAGGCGACGACGGGUAGCCGGCCUGAGAGGGCGACCGGCCACACUGGGACUGAGACACGGCCCAGACUCCUACGGGAGGCAGCAGUGGGGAAUAUUGCACAAUGGGCGGAAGCCUGAUGCAGCGACGCCGCGUGAGGGAUGACGGCC
rnacentral:rRNA from 1 species